rnacentral:rRNA from 1 species
AUUGAACGCUGGCGGCAUGCCUUACACAUGCAAGUCGAACGGCAGCACGGGAGCAAUCCUGGUGGCGAGUGGCGAACGGGUGAGUAAUAUAUCGGAACGUGCCCGGUCGUGGGGAUAACGUAGCGAAAGCUACGCUAAUACCGCAUACGAUCUACGGAUGAAAGCGGGGGAUCGCAAGACCUCGCGCGAUUGGAGCGGCCGAUAUCAGAUAGGUAGUUGGUGAGGUAAAGGCUCACCAAGCCGACGAUCUGUAGCUGGUCUGAGAGGACGACCAGCCACACUGGGACUGAGACACGGCCCAGACUCCUACGGGAGGCAGCAGUGGGGAAUUUUGGACAAUGGGCGCAAGCCUGAUCCAGCAAUGCCGCGUGCAGGAUGAAGGCCU